UACAGAGGGUGCGAGCGUUAAUCGGAAUUACUGGGCGUAAAGAGCGCGCAGGCGGUCGAUCAAGUCGAGUGUGAAAGCCCCCGGCUCAACUGGGGAGGGUCAUUCGAUACUGAUCGACUCGAAGGCAGGAGAGGGUAGUGGAAUUCCCGGUGUAGUGGUGAAAUGCGGAGAUAUCGGGAGGAACACCAGGGGCGAAGGCGACUACCUGGCCUGUUCUUGACGCUGAGGCGCGAAAGCUAGGGGAGCAAACGGG
rnacentral:rRNA from 1 species